rnacentral:rRNA from 1 species
GGCAGGCCUAACACAUGCAAGUCGAGCGGUAGCACAGAGAGCUUGCUCUCGGGUGACGAGCGGCGGACGGGUGAGUAAUGUCUGGGAAACUGCCUGAUGGAGGGGGAUAACUACUGGAAACGGUAGCUAAUACCGCAUAAUGUCGCAAGACCAAAGUGGGGGACCUUCGGGCCUCAUGCCAUCAGAUGUGCCCAGAUGGGAUUAGCUAGUAGGUGGGGUAACGGCUCACCUAGGCGACGAUCCCUAGCUGGUCUGAGAGGAUGACCAGCCACACUGGAACUGAGACACGGUCCAGACUCCUACGGGAGGCAGCAGUGGGGAAUAUUGCACAAUGGGCGCAAGCCUGAUGCAGCCAUGCCGCGUGUGUGAAGAAGGCCUUCGGGUUGUAAAGCACUUUCAGCGGGGAGGAAGGCGGUGAGGUUAAUAACCUCACCGAUUGACGUUACCCGCAGAAGAAGCACCGGCUAACUCCGUGCCAGCAGCCGCGGUAAUACGGAGGGUGCAAGCGUUAAUCGGAAUUACUGGGCGUAAAGCGCACGCAGGCGGCCUGUCAAGUCGGAUGUGAAAUCCCCGGGCUCAACCUGGGAACUGCAUUCGAAACUGGCAGGCUAGAGUCUUGUAGAGGGGGGUAGAAUUCCAGGUGUAGCGGUGAAAUGCGUAGAGAUCUGGAGGAAUACCGGUGGCGAAGGCGGCCCCCUGGACAAAGACUGACGCUCAGGUGCGAAAGCGUGGGGAGCAAACAGGAUUAGAUACCCCGGUAGUCCACGCCGUAAACGAUGUCGAUUUGGAGGUUGUGCCCUUGAGGCGUGGCUUCCGGAGCUAACGCGUUAAAUCGACCGCCUGGGGAGUACGGCCGCAAGGUUAAAACUCAAAUGAAUUGACGGGGGCCCGCACAAGCGGUGGAGCAUGUGGUUUAAUUCGAUGCAACGCGAAGAACCUUACCUGGUCUUGACAUCCACAGAACUUUCCAGAGAUGGAUUGGUGCCUUCGGGAACUGUGAGACAGGUGCUGCAUGGCUGUCGUCAGCUCGGGUUGUGAAAUGUUGGGUUAAGUCCCGCAACGAGCGCAACCCUUAUCCUUUGUUGCCAGCGGUUCGGCCGGGAACUCAAAGGAGACUGCCAGUGAUAAACUGGAGGAAGGUGGGGAUGACGUCAAGUCAUCAUGGCCCUUACGACCAGGGCUACACACGUGCUACAAUGGCAUAUACAAAGAGAAGCGACCUCGCGAGAGCAAGCGGACCUCAUAAAGUAUGUCGUAGUCCGGAUUGGAGUCUGCAACUCGACUCCAUGAAGUCGGAAUCGCUAGUAAUCGUAGAUCAGAAUGCUACGGUGAAUACGUUCCCGGGCCUUGUACACACCGCCCGUCACACCAUGGGAGUGGGUUGCAAAAGAAGUAGGUAGCUUAACCUUCGGGAGGGCGCUUACCACUUUGUGAUUCAUGACUGG